UGGCGACCGGCGCACGGGUGAGUAACACGUAUCCAACCUGCCGAUGACUCGGGGAUAGCCUUUCGAAAGAAAGAUUAAUACCCGAUGGCAUAGUUCUUCCGCAUGGUGGAACUAUUAAAGAAUUUCGGUCAUCGAUGGGGAUGCGUUCCAUUAGGUUGUUGGNGGGGUAACGGCCCACCAAGCCUUCGAUGGAUAGGGGUUCUGAGAGGAAGGUCCCCCACAUUGGAACUGAGACACGGUCCAAACUCCUACGGGAGGCAGCAUG
rnacentral:rRNA from 1 species